rnacentral:rRNA from 1 species
AGCGAACGCUAGCGGCGGGCCUAACACAUGCAAGUCGAGCGGGGAGCAAUCCCAGCGGCGAACGGGUGAGUAACACGUGGGUAAUGUGCCUUCUGGUGGGGAAUAACCUUGGGAAACCAGGGCUAAUACCGCAUAUCGUGCUUCGGCAUGAAAGCCUUCGGGCGCCAGUAGAGCAGCCUGCGUCCCAUUAUUUAGUCCUAGUUGGUAGGGUAAUGGCCUACCAAGGGUACGAUGGGUAGCUGGUCUGAGAGGGUGAUCAGCCACACUGGAACUGAGACACGGUCCAGACUCCUACGGGAGGCAGCAGUGGGGAAUAUUGCGCAAUGGGGGAAACCCUGACGCAGCCACGCCGCGUGAGUGAUGAAGGCCUGGUUGUAAGCUCUGUCGGAGGGACGGAAGGGAGGCAAUCUCUGACGGUACCUCGCAAGAAAGCACCGGCUAACUCUGUGCCAGCAGCCGCGGU